CGAUCAUCGGUCUCUCGAACGCAAAUGGCAGCUAGGGGCUUGCUUCUAGCUACGUUUGAUCGAGUGUCGGCU
rnacentral:rRNA from 1 species